rnacentral:lncRNA from 1 species
CGCCCAGUGCAGUUCACCAAUCCUUUUUAUUUGACGAGCUCCUGAUAACAGUGCAUGUACAGUAUUAGGAGUCAACAGUAUUUGUCUCAGUGUGUUUGUAGAAAUGGCACCUUUCUCCUCGUUGCUGUUUGACACAUGACGAUGAUGUGUCACUAACAAGGUCUGAAUUGUCUUAAAAUGGGAACUCUCUUAUCAAGUGUUAUUUCCAGUUAGACAUGUUGUUCUAAUCUCUGUCUCUAUUCCUCUCUCUCUUUCUCUCUGAUCAGACCCAGGCUUAAUCUGUCUUUCAGUAGACUUAUGUAGAUCUUAUACUUUUGUUACAGCCAAUAAACAUACAGAUUAUCAAUUCAUAUUGUAAAUGUUUAAACUCUGUCAGGAUUAUAGUUUUCAAAUCUGCCAUGGAAUUGGUAAACUAAGUAUGAACAUUUCUCUCCAAAGUAAUUCCAGGUAAAUUGUAGUACUGUAGUACAAAAAACUAAAUCAUACGCAGGUCUCCAACAAUGUUUGGUCUGUAGUUUCUUCUGGUACCGCGCUACCAUUUGCAUACCAGAAAUAAGUGAUGUCCUCCAGUGUCACUUUGGGUUGAAUCCACAGGUUGUCACACUCUAUCCCUUUCUGCCUCCGCUGCUCCCUCCUCACCCUCUCCUUCACCCUCUCCCUCCCUCUCUCCCUCCGUUUAUGGUCAGGUCCCAUGGUGGAGCCGUUGGCGUACCACAAUUCCACCCUCUCCUCCACCGAUAAUAUCUGGUCAACCCACAGGUUCUCCAGAUUCACCCCUGACACCUCCUCUCCUCGCUCUCCUUUCCCUCUCUCUCUGGACUGACAAACGCACCGAUAGGAAGACAGUGAGACCAAGGAAGACUGAAGCAGUUAAUCCCAGAGCCCACAGAACAAUGAAACAGACCAGUCUAGUAGAGCCAGGAGGCAAUGAUGGGGACCUUUCAUCUGCCUCUCCGCACUCAGGACGAUAAUGCACAUUGUUUUCAGUUGUGUUGUUCAGCCUGUUGUCAUAGCCUGAGACUGUGUGGUUGUGUCUGAGUGAAUGAGUAUGAGUUUUCUUAUUCAAAUGUACUGUUGUGUUACGAUUAUUAGAGGUUGUGGUAUUACUGUAUGAAAGUGUGUUUGUGUAGUUGUCUAUGUUAUCUGUAAAUGUGUUUGCAUUUAUAUAUGGAGUUGUGCUAUUGUCAGCAUGGGGGAUUGAAACUGUGGCGUUGUCCUUAGACUGGCUUGUGUCGUCAGGUUGUGUUUUGUAGCUAGUAGCCCUGUAAGUCACGGUCAUGUGCUCAUACAAACCAGGAUAUGUGACUGUGUACGUAGGUGAAACCAUCGUUAUUGUUGCGACGCUGUAGGCCUUACUUUGUUUACCUCUGUUCAAACCUGUCACUCUACUAGUUGGGGUGAUUGUGAAGAAGUCUCUCUUUGUUGUGUAGUAAUCUCCUGAAGCAGUCUCUAGUCCUUGUGUAGCAGUGUGCUGGUCUGCUGCUUGUGACCUGUUUAAGUGUGGCUUCGCUAGCCUGGAGUCAUUACUGGUGUCAGCAGCCCAUGUCUCUAUGAAAUUUGGUGUGUUCAGUUUCUCUGGCUAUUUCAGUGUUGCUGCUGUCAUGAUACUCAGUCCCUUCCUGCUUGGGGAGAGUGGUGGUGCUGGGGUGGUCAGUUGUGGGUGAGGCUGUGUGUCUGCUGAAGGGAAGAGUCUCAUGGUGAUUGUGGCUCUCUGUUUCCUUCCUCAAGUCUCCUGCAGUUGUGUGCCUGUUGCUCUUCUGUACGGCUGUGGUGGCGUAAGUGGCAGUUCCUGUUCUGAGAAUGCCUCUUCCUUGAGUCGUUCUGCCUGAGUUGUUGACAGCUGCUAAGCUAGUGCUUUUCUUCAAUUGUGUUUUGAACGUGCCGCUAGUCCUACCAGGGUGGUUUUCAGUUGUGGAGAGUGGAAGCAUCAGGGGGUCUGACGUUGGAGUGCUGAUACUAAGGUCUAGAACUGUUGUUGUGGUUUCUGUGGCGCUCGGUGAAGCCACAAUGGUGGAAUGGAAGGCACAGGGCAAGGGAAAUCAGAGUCCCUCUCAUCAUGUCUGUGUGCGAGACAGAGGGGGACAGAGAAAGAUAUAAAUAGUGGGAAAGAGAGAGUAAUAGAGAGAGGGAGAGAGAAAGAAAAUUAGAAAAAAAGACAGUGUGAGAGAGAGAGUGAAAACGAGAGAGAGACAGAGGCAUCCAGCUAAUCAGAUGACUUUGUUUUGCUUGUAGUACUGUAGCACACUUUUUAAAACUCUCCCAUUGCUUCCCAUUGCC